UACAGGAAUGAUUAAUGCUGUACGGAGUGAGAGUCUCGUCUCUUUGAAAAAAGCUUUAGAAGUAAACAAAUCUGCAUUGGAUUUGAUCAGUAAUGAAUUGAUGCCAGUUUUAAAAGAUAUACAGCAAGAAAUAUCUAACACAAAGGAAUGUAAGGCAGCCAUUGCCAAGAGUGAACGAGCUAUGAGGUCUUGUCUUGAAGAAACUGAGGAGCAGAGUUGAAGAUCCAGCAUAUCAAAGGAAUCCUACAUCCCGGCAGGAGAAAAUAUCACAAAUGCAGAUUGCAUGGAAACUUAAAAAGGAAGUCCUUCAGGGGGCGAGAUUAACCAACAGAAAGAGACACUGCUUGAAAUAAUGCGCAAUCAGACAGAAGACGAAAUUGUAUCCCGAGACUUACAGAAGGAACGUAUGAAAAUCAUCCAUGAAUCUCAGAUGUUAAAGGACCAGAUCCACCAGUUUGACUUAUUUGUGGCUAAAAAUUACCAGAAAAUUCUGGAAGCAAUAGAGCAGCAUAACUGUGAAAUUCAGGAAAGUGUUACUGUUGUUGCAGAAGAGGUGUAUAAGAAAGAGUCUGAAGACUGAAAAAGGGUAAUAGAAUGAAAAUAUGUCUGUUUGCAUCCAAAAAUAUACUGUUUAUGAUGCUUUUCAAAAUAUAUUUUUGAGUGCACAUUUUAUGGUACUGUCUAUACAAAGAUGCAAACUGUGCUGCAGUACCAUUAUGUAAGCAUUCUAGAUCUUUAGAUUUUACAGGCUUUCUUUAACAUAUGUGGAUCAUAUUACACCAAUUUUUUUAAUGUUUUUUUACAAUAUUUUGUACGUAUAGGAAAAAUGUAUGUAUAUUUUUUCAGAAUAUUCUUGAUUGUCUGUCUUCAUAAGAUUAAAAAGCAAGAUCUUACAAAAGUUUCAGGUCAGUAGAAUAUCAUAUUUGGUGUACAGGCUGAGGAGUCUCUCCCAUGUCCACUCUUUCAGAGGCUGAG